rnacentral:piRNA from 1 species
UGCAAGUAUACCUGAUUGUCAGGAGCCAUC